CGGUAAGGUGAUAUGAACCGUUAUAACCGGCGAUUUCCGAAUGGGGAAACCCAGUGUGACUCGUCACACUAUCAUUAACUGAAUCCAUAGGUUAAUGAGGCGAACCGGGGGAACUGAAACAUCUAAGUACCCCGAGGAAAAGAAAUCAACCGAGAUUCCCCCAGUAGCGGCGAGCGAACGGGGAGGAGCCCAGAGCCUGAAUCAGCAUGUGUGUUAGUGGAAGCGUCUGGAAAGGCGCGCGAUACAGGGUGACAGCCCCGUACACAAAAGCGCAUGUGCUGUGAGCUCGAUGAGUAGGGCGGGACACGUGGUAUCCUGUCUGAAUAUGGGGGGACCAUCCUCCAAGGCUAAAUACUCCUGACUGACCGAUAGUGAACCAGUACCGUGAGGGAAAGGCGAAAAGAACCCCGGCGAGGGGAGUGAAAAAGAACCUGAAACCGU
rnacentral:rRNA from 2 species